AGAGUUUGAUCAUGGCUCAGAUUGAACGCUGGCGGCAGGCCUAACACAUGCAAGUCGAGCGGAUGAAGGGAGCUUGCUCCUGGAUUCAGCGGCGGACGGGUGAGUAAUGCCUAGGAAUCUGCCUGGUAGUGGGGGAUAACGUCCGGAAACGGGCGCUAAUACCGCAUACGUCCUGAGGGAGAAAGUGGGGGAUCUUCGGACCUCACGCUAUCAGAUGAGCCUAGGUCGGAUUAGCUAGUUGGUGGGGUAAAGGCCUACCAAGGCGACGAUCCGUAACUGGUCUGAGAGGAUGAUCAGUCACACUGGGACUGAGACACGGUCCAGACUCCUACGGGAGGCAGCAGUGGGGAAUAUUGGACAAUGGGCGAAAGCCUGAUCCAGCCAUGCCGCGUGUGUGAAGAAGGUCUUCGGAUUGUAAAGCACUUUAAGAUGGGAGGAAGGGCAGUAAGUUAAUACCUUGCUGUUUUGACGUUACCAACAGAAUAAGCACCGGCUAACUUCGUGCCAGCAGCCGCGGUAAUACGAAGGGUGCAAGCGUUAAUCGGAAUUACUGGGCGUAAAGCGCGCGUAGGUGGUUCAGCAAGUUGGAUGUGAAAUCCCCGGGCUCAACCUGGGAACUGCAUCCAAAACUACUGAGCUAGAGUACGGUAGAGGGUGGUGGAAUUUCCUGUGUAGCGGUGAAAUGCGUAGAUAUAGGAAGGAACACCAGUGGCGAAGGCGACCACCUGGACUGAUACUGACACUGAGGUGCGAAAGCGUGGGAGCAAACAGGAUUAGAUACCCUGGUAGUCCACGCCGUAAACGAUGUCGACUAGCCGUUGGGAUCCUUGAGAUCUUAGUGGCGCAGCUAACGCGAUAAGUCGACCGCCUGGGGAGUACGGCCGCAAGGUUAAAACUCAAAUGAAUUGACGGGGGCCCGCACAAGCGGUGGAGCAUGUGGUUUAAUUCGAAGCAACGCGAAGAACCUUACCUGGCCUUGACAUGCUGAGAACUUUCCAGAGAUGGAUUGGUGCCUUCGGGAACUCAGACACAGGUGCUGCAUGGCUGUCGUCAGCUCGUGUCGUGAGAUGUAGGGUUAAGUCCCGUAACGAGCGCAACCCUUGUCCUUAGUUACCAGCACCUCGGGUGGGCACUCUAAGGAGACUGCCGGUGACAAACCGGAGGAAGGUGGGGAUGACGUCAAGUCAUCAUGGCCCUUACGGCCAGGGCUACACACGUGCUACAAUGGUCGGUACAAAGGGUUGCCAAGCCGCGAGGUGGAGCUAAUCCCAUAAAACCGAUCGUAGUCCGGAUCGCAGUCUGCAACUCGACUGCGUGAAGUCGGAAUCGCUAGUAAUCGUGAAUCAGAAUGUCACGGUGAAUACGUUCCCGGGCCUUGUACACACCGCCCGUCACACCAUGGGAGUGGGUUGCUCCAGAAGUAGCUAGUCUAACCGCAAGGGGGACGGUUACCACGGAGUGAUUCAUGACUGGGGUGAAGUCGGAACAAGGUAGCCGUAGGGGAACCUGCGGCUG
rnacentral:rRNA from 1 species